rnacentral:rRNA from 1 species
GUCCACAGCCAUACUGCCCUGAACGCGCCCAGUCUCAGCUGAUCUCGGAAGCCAAGCAGGGUCAAGCCCGGUUAGUACUUGGAUGCAAGAACAUCCCACGGUUAGGAUG